CGCCCUUCUCGGAUCCUCAGUGAUUAUUACCUGUGUAUUGCCGAUUCCCUCCAGUUUCUCACCGCUCGGCUGAUACACCUGAAAUCGUUCGAGACGACGCCUGCGACUACAGUGCCUGAGAGUCCACUUUCUUUAUACUUUCACCAGCACUGGAUAGGGUAUGGCUCUCUUAUUCCACAGAAGUAAAUAAUUGCAUUUCUUCAGAUCAACUUGUAUCUAAACCUGAGCUCCCAUCCUGCCAUGCUGGUGGGUCUCAUGACUCUGAUACUCCUUUACCACCCUUGGAAUCAAAUGAGUGAAUCUAGCAGCCCAAGCACCCAGGUGCAGCCUUCCCCUUUGAGGUUUUGCCACCAUCCUGGGUUCUGUCACAGAGCAAGACAGAAGACUUAGCUGCUUACUCAACAUUUGAGCUUCAGACUUCUAAGUCUUAAGGAAUCUGUCUUCCACCUCACCUUCAAAGGCAUUUCUGUCCUUUGUUUCUCCUCCUUAUUUCAAAAGACAACAAGAGCCUAUGUUUUGCUUUUUGCCUUACAAAAAUAUGAGGGUCUGGAUACUUGCUUGAAUGGGGGCGAGGGGCAGGGGGAUACAUAGAAUUAAUAUCUCAACAAAAUAACCUGCCACAAAAAUUUAUAUCAAAUUAUAAAUGCUUUUUUUACCCUGCUUUUUUAUUUAAACAUUAUACCAUAAACAUUUCAUGCCAUGUGCUUUUGUAAUUUUUAAGUUUUCCUUUAUUAUUUUCGAGAGAGAGAGAGA